rnacentral:rRNA from 1 species
AUUGAACGCUGGCGGCAGGCCUAACACAUGCAAGUCGAACGAGUGGCGGACGGGUGAGUAAUGUCUGGGAAACUGCCCGAUGGAGGGGGAUAACUGCUGGAAACGGUAGCUAAUACCGCAUACCAUCGGAUGUGCCAAGAUGGGAUUAGCUAGUAGGUGGGGUAACGGCUCACCUAGGCGACGAUCCCUAGCUGGUCUGAGAGGAGGACCAGCCACACUGGAACUGAGACACGGUCCAGACGCCUACGGGAGGCAGCAGUGGGGAAUAGUGCACAAUGGGCGCAAGCCUGAUGCAGCCAUGACGCGUGUAUGAAGAAGGCCUUCGGGGUGUAAAGUACUUUCAGCGAGGAGGCGUUACUCGCAGAAGAAGCACCGGCUAACUCCGUGCCAGCAGCCGCGGGAAUAC